rnacentral:rRNA from 1 species
AUUGAACGCUGGCGGCAUGCCUAACACAUGCAAGUCGAACGAGUGGCGGACGGGUGAGGCAUGUGUGUGUAACUGCCUGAGGGAGGUGGCUAACUACUGGAAACGGUAGCUAAUCCCACAUACCAUCAGAUGUGCCCAGAUGGGGUUAGCUAGUUGGUGGGGUAACGGCUCACCAAGGCGACGCUCCCUAGCUGGUCUGAGAGGAUGACCAGCCACACUGGGACUGAGACACGGUCCGGACUCCUACGGGAGGCAGCAGUGGGGAAUAUUGCGCAAUGGGCGCAAGCCUGAUGCAGCCAUGCCGCGUGUAUGAAGAAGGCCUUCGGGUUGUAAAGUUCUUUCAGCGGGGAGGCGUUACCCGCAGAAGAAGCACCGGCUAACUCCGUGCCAGCAGCCGCGGUAAUAC